AAAGAUGGGGCGGCGCGGCCGGGGCUCGCCAGCACCAGCCCUGGAACCCCAUGGGGGACCUCGACAACAGCGCCUUUGCGGCGUGGGCCCCUUUCUGCAGCUCCUCCACCCGCGCGCUGUCGGCUCCGGGACACUGGGGCUUUGAAGGGCGCCAGUUCCCAGCCGCACCUGCACGCCUAGGAGGGCGCAGGCCGCGUGUCCCUGUGGGAGGAAGGCCCCGGCAACCUGCAAAGACCUCACGUCACAGAAACUUGCGGCGUUUGCCCCCGAUGCGCGCGUCAGGUGCUCCGUCCCUUCCAGGUGGCAGAGGAGAGGGAAGGGUCGCGCCUGGUGGGGGCCUGAGAGCCACCGGGCUGCGGUGCGCGAGUGUGGACACCGCCCCGCCUUCUGCGUCUACAGCCCUGGGUUCUGGGACCUUUGGAAACCGCUUUGGACGAAGCUGAGCAUCUCUUUCCCCACGCUGACCUCCCCCAUAGACUCCGGAUGGGAGUAAAUGAGGCUCCUGGGAAAUCCAGAAACUCUAGAGAAGCUUGUUUGCCAAACCUUGCUUUGGGCGGUGGAGACAGAAUAUCAUGUCCCAGAUCAGCGUGUGGUGACUGUGGAGGCAUUUACACACAGCACACUCCAGCUCUGCCACUGGGCCGGCUGAGGUGGCUGCGGUACACGGCGCCCAUCCUGAGCCCCAGGUUCCUCACAUGUCAACAGCAUGAAAAGUGCCUCUAAGACAUCCACAGGUGUGCAGUGUUAAAGCAGGCAGCGCCUCAGCUUGGUUAGCUCCCUUAAGGACUGCGGCUCCCUUAGGACAAGGCUCUGUCCCUCAGAGCACUGAGUGCGAUCUCAUGCUGGCAUCUUAGAGACAUUGUAUUCACCAGGAUUCUGCCAUGAUUGCCACCUCUGGAGACGUCACAGCCAGCACAGCCAUGACCAGGGAUGAACUUGGCCAUUGUCCAGCAGCACCAUGGGAGGACCAGCUGCUGUAAGUGAAGGUCAUCAUCCAUCUGAUUUGCUGGCUUUUUGCAACUACUGCGGUGGAAGUCUUAGAGUAGCCACCUUCUCUGUACUCAGACCUUCACUUCGCCAGAUGUCAGCACAGCAGUGUCAGCAGCUUCGUCAAACACAAACACCACCACCUCUCUGGAUCAGAAGCACAUGGAAAGCCCACCUUGCAAGAAGACCCAGCUAUUCCAAAAGUACCCAUAUCCCUGUAGCAUCCUCUUAGCUGAAUGUCUCUACUCCUUAAACUUGUACCACUUUGAAGAGUAAAAAUUUAAAUUCAUUCAUAUUAUCAUUUUUUAGUUUUUAGUAUAAGUGGAGCUGUUUAUCGGCCAUUUGUAUGUCCUUUUCUUUUUUUUGCAAAUUACUCCUUUGCCAAAUUUUCUCUCAAAUGACUCAUCUUUUUCUUAUUGAUUUGCAGAAGCUAUUUACAUAUUAUGGAUGUGGGGUGUCUAACAUACACAGCAAAUACUUUGUCCCAGUGUGUCACUUUUUAAAAAAAUUCUUAUAAUGUCUUUCAUCUUUAAAAAAUUAUUAAGCUAUUGUGAGCUUUUAUGCCUUUUCAGUUUAUUUUCUUACAUAGAUAAUUAUAUGAAGUGCAAAUAGGGGCAGUGUUAGUCUCAUCUUCCCAAGGCUGCACCUCAGAUGUGGAAUGUUGACAGCAACAUCUGUUACCUUGUUUCUGUUUUUAGGAUUUUAGCGUUAAGGCCAGGCAUAAUGGUUCAUGCCUGUAAUUCCAGCACUUUGGGAGGCCGAGGUGGGCAGAUCACUUGAAGCCAGGAGUUCAAGACCAGCCUGGCCAACAUGGAGAAACCCUCUCUAUUUUUAAAUACAUUUAAAAUGUUAACAAUUAAAACAAAAUAUUUUACCGUUAGUAUGAUGCUUGAUACAGGAUUUCUGGUACAUACGCCUUAUCAAAUUAAAUAAGUUUCCUUUUACUCUUGUUUAUUGUUAUUUUUUAAAAUAAGGAAUGAAUCUUGGAUUUUAGUGUAUCAAUAAUUAUAUUUUAUUCUUUAACUUCAUAAUAUUCCUUAUAAUUCCUUAUGUCAUAUUAAAGAUGUAAAUUCAUAUAUAUUUUAUCAUACAAAUGAUUAAUAAAUGUAUAAGCAUGUCAUUAUAUGAGAGUAUACUUCCUUAUGUUUCAUGAAUGCAUCGUGACAGGCUCAUUUUUUUAAUCACUGCUCGAUUUGUGCCACUGAUGUUUUAUGAGGCCUAUUUAUGUCGGCGAUGGUAAGAGUGUUAGUGUUUCCUCUGUGGGUACCUUCAUCUACCGUGAGUCUCCUGGAUAUGCUAGCAUCACAGAAUGGCAGGCGGAAAUUUCCAGCUUUUUCUAUAGAAUGAGUUUAACACAGAAAAUAGAUCUUUCUUGAAAAUGUGGUAACACUUACCUGGAAACCUCCCUGGCCUAGUGCCUCUUUUCUUGGGGCUAAAGGGUAUGAAAAUGGGUAGAUCUCCAAAUGCCUUUUCCAUUUUUCUAUGAAUAUUAUUCCUACUCAGGCUUUUCUCUUCUUGGAACAAUGCUGCUAACUUGUGCCUACUUGGCUAUUUCUACUUCAUGUAUAUUUUCAAAUCCAUUGGUGUGCAAGUGGACUUAGUAUGUUCUUGCAAGCGUAAGAGUCUCCAUUAGUGUAAUGACCUUCUCUCUUUCUGUUUUCCUUGAGCAAUUAACAUAUAUUUGUCUUAUUUUAUUGGUCUUCUCAAAAGAAUAUGCUUUUGAGUUAUUGAUCACCUGUACCAUGUGUUCUAUCACACUAUUCU
rnacentral:lncRNA from 1 species